CCCCUCUCAGGAUCACACCUGGAGAGUUCCCAGUACUCUACCAGUCUCGACUAUGGGAGGAAGAGUCAAGUAGAGGCAUAUCCAUUCCAUUCCUAGCAUGGGCAGUGGUUAGCAAGUGGAAGGCAGUCUGCUACAAGU